rnacentral:rRNA from 1 species
CCUACGGGGGGCUGCAGUGGGGAAUAUUGGACAAUGGGGGGAACCCUGAUCCUGCCAUGCCGCGUGUGUGAAGAAGGCCCUCGGGUUGUAAAGCACUUUCAGUGAGGAAGAACGCCUGGUGGUUAAUACCCAUCAGGAAAGACAUCACUCACAGAAGAAGCACCGGCUAACUCCGUGCCAGCAGCCGCGGUAAUACGGAGGGUGCGAGCGUUAAUCGGAAUUACUGGGCGUAAAGCGCGCGUAGGUGGCUUGAUAAGCCGGUUGUGAAAGCCCCGGGCUCAACCUGGGAACGGCAUCCGGAACUGUCAAGCUAGAGUGCAGGAGAGGAAGGUAGAAUUCCCGGUGUAGCGGUGAAAUGCGUAGAGAUCGGGAGGAAUACCAGUGGCGAAGGCGGCCUUCUGGACUGACACUGACACUGAGGUGCGAAAGCGUGGGUAGCAAACAGGAUUAGAUACCCCGGUAGUC